GAUGAACGCUGGCGGCGUGCUUAACACAUGCAAGUCGAACGAAGAUGCCGGAGUGCUUGCACUUUGGCAGACUGAGUGGCGGACGGGUGAGUAACGCGUGGGUAACCUGCCUUAUACAGGGGGAUAACAGUUGGAAACGACUGCUAAUACCGCAUAAGCGCACGGUAUCGCAUGAUACAGUGUGAAAAACUCCGGUGGUAUAAGAUGGACCCGCGUCUGAUUAGCUUGUUGGUGAGGUAACGGCCCACCAAGGCGACGAUCAGUAGCCGGCCUGAGAGGGCGACCGGCCACAUUGGGACUGAGACACGGGCCCAAAACUCCUACGGGAGGCAGCAGUGGGGAAUAUUGCACAAUGGGGGAAACCCUGAUGCAGCGACGCCGCGUGAAGGAAGAAGUAUUCGGUAUGUAAACUUCUAUCAGCAGGGAAGAAAAUGACGGUACCUGACUAAGAAGCCCCGGCUAACUACGUG
rnacentral:rRNA from 1 species